GACGAACGCUGGCGGCAUGCUUAACACAUGCAAGUCGAACGGAAAGGCCCUGCUUUUGUGGGGUGCUCGAGUGGCGAACGGGUGAGUAACACGUGAGUAACCUGCCCUUGACUUUGGGAUAACUUCAGGAAACUGGGGCUAAUACCGGAUAGGAGCUCCUGCUGCAUGGGGGGGGUUGGAAAGUUUCGGCGGUUGGGGAUGGACUCGCGGCUUAUCAGCUUGUUGGUGGGGUAGUGGCUUACCAAGGCUUUGACGGGUAGCCGGCCUGAGAGGGUGACCGGCCACAUUGGGACUGAGAUACGGCCCAGACUCCUACGGGAGGCAGCAGUGGGGAAUAUUGCACAAUGGGCGGAAGCCUGAUGCAGCAACGCCGCGUGCGGGAUGACGGCCUUCGGGUUGUAAACCGCUUUCGCCUGUGACGAAGCGUGAGUGACGGUAAUGGGUAAAGAAGCACCGGCUAACUACGUG
rnacentral:rRNA from 1 species